rnacentral:rRNA from 1 species
AGUGAACGCUGGCGGUAGGCCUAACACAUGCAAGUCGAACGGCAGCACAGUAAGAGCUUGCUCUUACGGGUGGCGAGUGGCGGACGAGUGAGGAAUACAUCGGAAUCUACUUUUUCGUGGGGGAUAACGUAGGGAAACUUACGCUAAUACCGCAUACGACCUACGGGUGAAAGCAGGGGAUCUUCGGACCUUGCGCGAUUGAAUGAGCCGAUGUCGGAUUAGCUAGUUGGCGGGGUAAAGGCCCACCAAGGCGACGAUCCGUAGCUGGUCUGAGAGGAUGAUCAGCCACACUGGAAAUGAGACACGGUCCAGACUCCUACGGGAGGCAGCAGUGGGGAAUAUUGGACAAUGGGCGCAAGCCUGAUCCAGCCAUACCGCGUGGGUGAAGAAGGCCUUCGGGUUGUAAAGCCCUUUUGUUGGGAAAGAAAAGCAGCAGGUUAAGACCCCGCUGUUCUGACGGUACCCAAAGAAUAAGCACCGGCUAACUUCGU